AUCCUGGGCUCAGGAUGAACGCUAGCUACAGGCUUAACACAUGCAAGUCGAGGGGCAGCAUGAACUUAGCUUGCUAAGUUUGAUGGCGACCGGCGCACGGGUGAGUAACACGUAUCCAACCUGCCGAUGACUCGGGGAUAGCCUUUCGAAAGAAAGAUUAAUACCCGAUGGCAUAGUUCUUCCGCAUGGUAGAACUAUUAAAGGAUUUCGGUCAUCGAUGGGGAUGCGUUCCAUUAGGUUG
rnacentral:rRNA from 1 species